GACGAACGCUGGCGGCGUGCUUAACACAUGCAAGUCGAACGGAAAGGCCCUGCUUUUGUGGGGUGCUCGAGUGGCGAACGGGUGAGUAACACGUGAGUAACCUGCCCUUGACUUUGGGAUAACUUCAGGAAACUGGGGCUCAUACCGGAUAGGAGCUCCUGCUGCAUGGUGGGGGUUGGAAAGUUUCGGCGGUUGGGGAUGGACUGGCGGCUUAUCAGCUUGUUGGUGAGGUAGUGGCUUACCAAGGCUUUGACUGGUAGCCGGCCUGAGAGGGUGACCGGCCACAUGGGGCCUGAGAUACGGCCCAGACUCCUACGGGAGGCAGCAGUGGGGAAUAUUGCACAAUGGGCGGAAGCCUGAUGCAGCAACGCCGCGUGCGGGAUGACGGCCUUCGGGUUGUAAACCGCUUUCGCCGGUGACGAAGCGUGAGUGACGGUAAUGGGUAAAGAAGCACCGGCUAACUACGUG
rnacentral:rRNA from 1 species